rnacentral:rRNA from 1 species
GUGCCAGCAGCCGCGGUAAGACGAAGGGGGCUAGCGUUGUUCGGAAUUACUGGGCGUAAAGGGCGCGUAGGCGGUUUGUUAAGUCAGGCGUGAAAGCCCUGGGCUCAACCUGGGAUGUGCGUUUGAUACUGGCAAGCUUGAGUGCAGGAGAGGAUGGUGGAAUUCCCAGUGUAGAGGUGAAAUUCGUAGAUAUUGGGAAGAACACCGGUGGCGAAGGCGGCCAUCUGGACUGCAACUGACGCUGAGGCGCGAAAGCGUGGGGAGCAAACAGGAUUAGAUACCCUGGUAGUCC